AGAACCUUACCAAGUCUUGACAUCCCUCUGACCGUCCCUUAACCGGGGCUUUCCUUCGGGACAGGGGAGACAGGUGGUGCAUGGUUGUCGUCAGCUCGUGUCGUGAGAUGUUGGGUUAAGUCCCGCAACGAGCGCAACCCCUGUCCUUAGUAGCCAGCAGUAAGAUGGGCACUCUAGGGAGACUGCCGGGGACAACCCGGAGGAAGGCGGGGACGACGUCAAAUCAUCAUGCCCCUUAUGAUUUGGGCUACACACGUGCUACAAUGGCGUAAACAAAGGGAAGCGAGCCUGCGAGGGGGAGCGAAUCCCAAAAAUAACGUCCCAGUUCGGACUGCAGUCUGCAACUCGACUGCACGAAGCUGGAAUCGCUAGUAAUCGCGGAUCAGAAUGCCGCGGUGAAUACGUUCCCGGGUCUUGUACACACCG
rnacentral:rRNA from 1 species